rnacentral:rRNA from 1 species
CCUACGGGCGGCUGCAGUGAGGAAUAUUGGUCAAUGGACGAGAGUCUGAACCAGCCAAGUAGCGUGAAGGAUGACUGCCCUAUGGGUUGUAAACUUCUUUUUUAAAGGAAUAAAACGAGGCACGUGUGCCUUUUUGCAUGUACUUUAUGAAUAAGGAUCGGCUAACUCCGUGCCAGCAGCCGCGGUAAUACGGAGGAUCCGAGCGUUAUCCGGAUUUAUUGGGUGUAAAGGGAGCGUAGAUGGGUUGUUAAGUCAGUUGGGAAAGUGUGCGGCUCAACCGUAAAAUUGCAAUUGAUACUGGCAGUCUUGAGUACAGUUGAGGUAGGCGGAAUUCGUGGUGUAGCGGUGAAAUGCUUAGAUAUCACGAAGAACCCCGAUUGCGAAGGCAGCUUACUAAACUGUGACUGACAUUGAUGCUCGAAAGUGUGGGUAUCAAACAGGAUUAGAUACCCUUGUAGUC